rnacentral:rRNA from 1 species
CAGUGUGCUGAUUACAACCCCUCGGCGGCGAGGUAGGCGACCGCCCACACCGACCGUCGUGGAGCACAGCGAGCUUGAUCGCCUCGAGAUGGUGGACCCAGUGAGCCUGGUGGGCAUGAUCCUAACGAUGGUGCAACUGAUCGCAAGCGCCGCGGAGACUGCACGGCAGAACAAGAAGAAGUGCUGGGAGCUCGCCCAACGCGCGCGCACUCUGGCCAACGUACUGCCCGACUCCAAAUACCCGGCGGCGAACGACCAGGAGACGGAGACAGUGAUGAGGAGGCUCGAGGAGACCCUCCACGAAGCGUUGACGCUCAUCCAGUCCUGCCAGACUGUAACUGUAUUCUCCCGUAGCCGGAAGGCCGCCGAAUUAGAUGGGGUUAAUAGAAAGAUCAACGACUGCAUCACGGACCUCAAUUUCAUCAGACAAGUUCGCACAAAUCACGUAGCAGCUGCAGCACCUAGCGCAGUCCCACUCCCAGCUCAAACUUAUGACCACGGCUCCUACUAUCAGUAUCAGGC